rnacentral:rRNA from 1 species
AUUAAUAGAUAUUGUCUUUAAAUUUGAAGAAUUUGGCGGUGAUUUAAUCUUGUUAGAGGAAUCUGUUUUUGAAUCGAUACACCACGUUAAAUUUCACUCAUUUUAUUUGGUCUAUAUACCGUCAUUAACAGAUAAUUUUAAAAGAAAUUGAAUUAUUAAGGUUUAUUUAUAAAUAAAUUAAAUUAGAUCAAGGUGUAGCUUAUAAAUGAGUUAAAAUGGAUUACAAUAAAAUAUAUUUAUUACGGAAUAGAAGGGUAAGAGAGUUCUAUAAAGGAGGAUUUAAUUGGAAAUUGAGGU